AGUGAACGCUGGCGGUAGGCCUAACACAUGCAAGUCGAACGGCAGCACAGUAAGAUCUUGCUCUUACGGGUGGCGAGUGGCGGACGGGUGAGGAAUACAUCGGAAUCUACUUUUUCGUGGGGGAUAACGUAGGGAAACUUACGCUAAUACCGCAUACGACCUACGGGUGAAAGCAGGGGAUCUUCGGACCUUGCGCGAUUGAAUGAGCCGAUGUCGGAUUAGCUAGUCGGCGGGGUAAAGGCCCACCAAGGCGACGAUCCGUAGCUGGUCUGAGAGGAUGAUCAGCCACACUGGAACUGAGACACGGUCCAGACUCCUACGGGAGGCAGCAGUGGGGAAUAUUGGACAAUGGGCGCAAGCCUGAUCCAGCCAUACCGCGUGGGUGAAGAAGGCCUUCGGGUUGUAAAGCCCUUUUGUUGGGAAAGAAAAGCAGCAGGUUAAUACCCCGCUGUUCUGACGGUACCCAAAGAAUAAGCACCGGCUAACUUCGUG
rnacentral:rRNA from 1 species